rnacentral:rRNA from 1 species
AUUGAACGCUGGCGGCAGGCCUAACACAUGCAAGUCGAACGAGUGGCGGACGGGUGAGUAAUGUCUGGGAAACUGCCCGAUGGAGGGGGAUAACUACUGGAAACGGUAGCUAAUACCGCAUACCAUCGGAUGUGCCCAGAUGGGAGUAGCUAGUAGGUGGGGUAACGGUUCACCUAGGCGACGAUCCCUAGCUGGUCUGAGAGGAUGACCAGCCACACUGGAAAUGAGACACGGUCGAGACUCCUACGGGAGGCAGCAGUGGGGAAUAUUGGACAAUGGGCGCAAGCCGGAUGAAGCCAUGCCGCGUGUAUGAAGAAGGCCUUCGGGUUGUAAAGUACGUUCAGCGAGGAGGCGUUACUCGCAGAAGAAGCACCGGCUAACUCCGUGCCAGCCGCCGCGGUAAUAC